GUAACGGCGAGUGAAGCGGCAACAGCUCAAAUUUGAAAUCUGGCUCCUUCGGGGCCCGAGUUGUAAUUUGCAGAGGAUGCUUCGGGUACGGGUUCCUUCCGAGUUCCCUGGAACGGGACGCCAUAGAGGGUGAGAGCCCCGUCUGGUAGGACACCCAGCCCGUGUGAAGCUCCCUCGACGAGUCGAGUAGUUUGGGAAUGCUGCUCUAACGGGAGGUAUACUCCUUCCAAGGCUAAAUACCGGCUGGAGACCGAUAGCGCACAAGUAGAGUGAUCGAAAGAUGAAAAGCACUUUGAAAAGAGAGUCAAAUAGCACGUGAAAUUGUUGAAAGGGAAGCGCUCGCUACCAGACAUGGGUUAGGCGGUUCAACCGGGGCCACGCCCCGGGGCACUCCGCCUGCCCAGGCCAGCAUCAGCUUUCCGUCGGGGGCAAAGGCGUCGGGAAUGUGGCUCCCCUCCGGGGGAGUGUUAUAGCCCGGCGUGUCAUACCCUUCGGGGGGCUGAGGUACGCGCUUCUGCAAGGAUGCUGGCGUAAUGGUAGCUAGUGACCCGUCUUGAAACACGGACCAAGGAGUCAACCUUAUGUGCGAGUGCCCGGGCGUAAAACCCCAGCGCGGAAUGAAAGUGAACGUAGGUGAGAGCUUCGGCGCAUCACCGACCGAUCCUGAUGUCCUCGGACGGAUUUGAGUGAGAGCAUAUAGGGUUGGACCCGAAAGAAGAUGAACUAUGCGUGUGUAGGGUGAAGCCAGAGGAAACUCUGGUGGAGGCUCGCAGCGGUUCUGACGUGCAAAUCG
rnacentral:misc_RNA from 1 species